rnacentral:rRNA from 1 species
CUCCGUGAUUCUGGAUGUUAGCGAUACUAGUUAGUGACUGAUCGAAAGCAUUAAGUAAUCCACCUGGGGAGUACGUCGGCAACGAUGAAACUCCAAGGAAUUGACGGGGGCCCGCACAAGCCGAGGAACAUGUGGUUUAAUUCGAUGAUACGCGAGGAACCUUACCUGGGUUUAAAUGGGGAGUGACAGGCGUUGAAAGAUGCUAUUCCUUCGGGACACUCUUCAAGGUGCUGCAUGGUUGUCGUCAGCUCGUGCCGUGAGGUGUCGGGUUAAGUCCCAUAACGAGCGCAACCCUUGCCGAUAGUUGCCAUCACGUAAAGGUGGGCACUCUAUCGGGACUGCCGGUGUAAACCGUGAGGAAGGUGGGGAUGACGUCAAAUCAGCACGGCCCUUACAUCCAGGGCUACACACGUGUUACCAUGGCCAGUACAGAGGGCCGCUACCCCGCGAGGGGAUGCCAAUCUCUAAAGCUGGUCUCAUUUCCGAUUGAAAUCUGGAAACCGACUUUCUGAAGCCGGAUUCCCUAGUAAUCCCGCAUCAGCCACCGCGCGGUGAAUACCUUCCCGGGCCUUGUACACACCCGCCCGUCAAGCCAUGGGAGCCGGGGGUACCUGAAGUUUGUAACCCCCAGGAACGUACUUAGGUAAAACCUGGUGACUUGUGCUUAAUCCUAACAAGGUA